rnacentral:rRNA from 1 species
GUGGGGAAUUUUGGACAAUGGGCGCAAGCCUGAUCCAGCCAUGCCGCGUGCAGGAUGAAGGCCUUCGGGUUGUAAACUGCUUUUGUACGGAACGAAAAGACUUCUUCUAAUACAGGAGGUCCAUGACGGUACCGUAAGAAUAAGCACCGGCUAACUACGUGCCAGCAGCCGCGGUAAUACGUAGGGUGCAAGCGUUAAUCGGAAUUACUGGGCGUAAAGCGUGCGCAGGCGGUUAUAUAAGACAGAUGUGAAAUCCCCGGGCUCAACCUGGGAACUGCAUUUGUGACUGUAUAGCUAGAGUACGGUAGAGGGGGAUGGAAUUCCGCGUGUAGCAGUGAAAUGCGUAGAUAUGCGGAGGAACACCGAUGGCGAAGGCAAUCCCCUGGACCUGUACUGACGCUCAUGCACGAAAGCGUGGGGAGCAAACAGGAUUAGAUACCCGAGUAGUCC